rnacentral:rRNA from 1 species
GAACGAACGCUGGCGGCAUGCCUAACACAUGCAAGUCGAACGAGACCUUCGGGUCUAGUGGCGCGACGGGUGCGUAACGCGUGGGAACCUGCCUUUAGGUUCGGAAUAACAGUGAGAAAUUACUGCUAAUACCGGAUGAUGUCUUCGGACCAAAGAUUUAUCGCCUUUAGAUGGGCCCGCGUUGGAUUAGCUAGUUGGUGGGGUAAAGGCCUACCAAGGCGACGAUCCAUAGCUGGUCUGAGAGGAUGAUCAGCCACACUGGGACUGAGACACGGCCCAGACUCCUACGGGAGGCAGCAGUGGGGAAUAUUGGACAAUGGGCGAAAGCCUGAUCCAGCAAUGCCGCGUGAGUGAUGAAGGCCUUAGGGUUGUAAAGCUCUUUUACCCGAGAUGAUAAUGACAGUAUCGGGAGAAUAAGCUCCGGCUAACUCCGUG